AAUUAUUUAAAAAUGAGCCUUGCAUAUGUCUUCCUCGCAGGCAAUGGCGAAUGGGUCUGCCUGGCAAUCAGACCUACUGUCCCGCUGCUUGACAGCUGAAACCAUCAGUGGGGUGCUCAAAGGAGAAGAAGACUGCUCUGGUAAAGCUGGAAGCACUUAAAACCAAAUAACUUCGAAACACCUGAGGAAAAGGAAAGCAAAAGGAAGACCACCUCCUUCCUAAAGAUCAUUUUUAACAGCUCCAAUCGAGUUCAUUGCUCAGCUGUCACGGGAAGAAUUCUUUCCAAAGACUUGGGGGAAGCUUUGUGAAGAUGUGAAGAUGCGCGGAGGUCCUUGUAUGAAAACUGUGAUAAAGAUGCUGGUUAGCAAAACUCUGAGAGGGGGUUGAUAACCACAGCGUGGGGACAGCAGAGGGAGCUCAAUGCUGUUUUUUGUUGGGGAUGAAAAAAACAAUCUGAGUGCUCCGGAUCCCCUUGCUGACCUGUGGUUCCACGCGGAAAGGCAAAACUUCUGAAAUCCAUUCGAGUGGCUCCAAAUAAAGAACUGGGAGGUUUUGCUGGCCGCUAAAGAAACUCUAGGACAUCUCAAGGUGAAGGCCCUCCUGCUGUUACAUCUGCUGUAUGAAUCGGAGCACUUAAACGGCACUUCCUCGAAGAGGGCUGAGCUAUGAUGAGUGGGAUGAGUCAGGCCUUGGAGGAUGGAUGUGGGACCGAAGAGCAUGUGCCACAUCACACAGUAAAAUACAAUUUCCUCUUGUUGCAACUUAUAUGUGCACACACAAACCCCUCACUUAGAUGAGGGUUUUUGCAAAACAUUUUAAAGAGCAAGGCUACGAUGGGAGAAAGCAAAAGACACAUAACAGUAAUUCCAGAGCUUCGGAUUCACCUCGGUCCAGAGCUUUUAUUUGACAAGAGUGUUGGCUCAGAACUGAAGCUCCACUAACCGUGCUACAAUUCUACCACGUUCUGCUAUAAUCAACCCUGUUGUAAAUUUCAGCAAUGCUAUACACACA